CCUACGGGCGGCAGCAGUGGGGAAUAUUGGGCAAUGGGCGCAAGCCUGACCCAGCAACGCCGCGUGAAGGAAGAAGGCUUUCGGGUUGUAAACUUCUUUUACCAGGGACGAGGAAAAGACGGUACCCUGAGAACAAGCCACGGCUAAAUACGGUCCAGCCGCCACGGGAAUAAGUAGGUUGCAAGCGUUAUCCGGAUUUACUGGGUGUAAAGGGCGUGGAGGCGGGAAGGCAAGUCAGAUGUGAAAACCGCAGGCUCAACCUCCGACCUGCAUUUGAAACUGUGUUUCUUGAGUGCUGGAGAGGCAAGCGGAAGUCCUUGUGUAGCGGUGAAAUGCGUAGAUAUAAGGAGGAACACCAGUGGCGAAGGCGGACUGCUGGACAGUAACUGACGCUGAGGCGCGAAAGCGUGGGGAGCAAACAGGAUUAGAUACCCUUGUAGUC
rnacentral:rRNA from 1 species